CCCUUAGAUGUUCUGGGCCGCACGCGCGCUACACUGAUGCAUUCAACGAGUCUAAAACCUGCUCUGAUAGGGGUGGGUAAUCUUUUGAAUGUGCAUCGUGAUUGGGAUAGAUGAUUGCAAUUUUUCAUCUUCAACGAGGAAUGCCUAGUAAGCGCAAGUCAUCAGCUUGCGUUGAUUACGUCCCUGCCCUUUGUACACACCGCCCGUCGCUCCUACCGAUUGAAUGGUCCGGUGAAGCGUUUGGACUAUGGUUUUCUGAUGGUCCGCCGUUGGAUUACCGUGGGAAGUUCGUUAAACCUUAUCAUUUAGAGGAAGGAGAAGUCGUAACA
rnacentral:rRNA from 1 species